rnacentral:rRNA from 1 species
AACGCGAAGAACCUUACCUGGGCUCGAAGCGCAGUGGACCGGGGUAGAAAUAUCCCUUCCCCUUAAAAGGCUGCUGCGGAGGUGCUGCAUGGCUGUCGUCAGCUCGUGUCGUGAGAUGUUGGGUUAAGUCCCGCAACGAGCGCAACCCUUAUCCCUAGUUGCCAUCGGGUCAAGCCGGGCACUCUAGUGAAACUGCCUGGGAUAACCAGGAGGAAGGUGGGGAUGACGUCAAGUCCUCAUGGCCUUUAUGUCCAGGGCUACACACGUGCUACAAUGGUCGGUACAAACCGUCGCAAACCCGUGAGGGGGAGCCAAUCGGAAAAAACCGAUCUCAGUUCGGAUUGCAGGCUGCAACUCGCCUGCAUGAAGCUGGAAUCGCUAGUAAUCACGCAUCAGAACGGCGUGGUGAAUACGUUCCCGGGCCUUGUACACACCGCUAGUC